GACGAACCGAGCGACCGUUGUUCGGAAUCACUGGGCUUAAAGGGCGCGUAGGCGGGUGCUCAAGUCCGGGGUGAAAUCCUCCAGCUCAACUGGAGAACUGCCUCGGAUACUGGGUGCCUCGAGGGUGGUAGGGGUAUGCGGAACUAUCGGUGGAGCGGUGAAAUGCGUUGAUAUCGAUAGGAACUCCGGUGGCGAAGGCGGCAUACUGGACCACAUCUGACGCUGAGGCGCGAAAGCCAGGGGAGCAAACGGG
rnacentral:rRNA from 1 species